UUCCGGUUGAUCCUGCCAGAGGUCACUGCUAUCGGUGUCCGAUUAAGCCAUGCGAGUCGAGAGGUGUAAGACCUCGGCAGACUGCUCAGUAACACGUGGAUAACCUGCCCAAGGGUCCGGGAUAACCCCGGGAAACUGGGGAUAAUACCGGAUGGGUCACCAGUGCUGGAAUGCUUGGUGGUCGAAAGGUGACGCCUUUGGAUGGGUCUGCGGCGGAUUAGGUUGACGCCGGUGUAACGUACCGGCGUGCCUGUAAUCCGUACGGGUUGUGGGAGCAAGAGCCCGGAGAUGGAUUCUGAGACACGAAUCCAGGCCCUACGGGGCGCAGCAGGCGCGAAAACUCUACAAUGCAGGCAACUGCGAUAGGGGGACAUCGAGUGGCAUCCACCUUGGGUGUCUGUCCAACCGUCUAAAAAACGGUUGUUAGCAAGGGCCGGGCAAGACCGGUGCCAGCCGCCGCGGUAAUACCGGCGGCUCGAGUGGUGGCCGAUAUUAUUGAGUCUAAAGGGUCCGUAGCCGGCUUUGCAAGUCCCCUGGGAAAUCCGGCGGCUUAACCGUUGGGCUUUCAUGGGAUACUACAUUGCUUGGGACUGGGGGAGGUAGGAGGUACUCGGGGGGUAGGGGUGAAAUCCUGUAAUCCUCCGGGGACCACCGGUGGCGAAGGCGUCCUACCAGAACAGGUCCGACGGUGAGGGACGAAAGCUAGGGGCACGAACCGGAUUAGAUACCCGGGUAGUCCUAGCCGUAAACGAUGCCCGCUAGGUGUCACGACGGUCGUGAAUCGUCGUGGUGCCGUAGGGAAGCCGCGAAGCGGGCCACUUGGGAAGUACGGCCGCAAGGCUGAAACUUAAAGGAAUUGGCGGG
rnacentral:rRNA from 1 species